GUGGUCCUACGGGGCGCAGCAAUGGGGAAUAUUGCGCAAUGGGGGAAACCCUGACGCAGCAACGCCGCGUGAGUGAGGAAGUAUCUCGGUAUGUAAAGCUCUAUCAGCGGGGAAGAAGGAAGACGGUACCCGACUAAGAAGCCCCGGCUAACUACGUGCCAGCAGCCGCGGUAAUACGUAGGGGGCGAGCGUUAUCCGGAUUUACUGGGUGUAAAGGGAGCGUAGACGGCGUCGCAGGUCUGAAGUGAACGCCCGUGGCUCAACCGCGGAACGGCUUUGGAAACUGU
rnacentral:rRNA from 1 species